CCUACGGGGGGCUGCAGUGGGGAAUAUUGGACAAUGGGGGGAACCCUGAUCCAGCCAUGCCGCGUGUGUGAAGAAGGCCCUCGGGUUGUAAAGCACUUUCAGUGAGGAAGAACGCCUGGUGGUUAAUACCCAUCAGGAAAGACAUCACUCACAGAAGAAGCACCGGCUAACUCCGUGCCAGCAGCCGCGGUAAUACGGAGGGUGCGAGCGUUAAUCGGAAUUACUGGGCGUAAAGCGCGCGUAGGUGGCUUGAUAAGCCGGUUGUGAAAGCCCCGGGCUCAACCUGGGAACGGCAUCCGGAACUGUUAAGCUAGAGUGCAGGAGAGGAAGGUAGAAUUCCCGGUGUAGCGGUGAAAUGCGUAGAGAUCGGGAGGAAUACCAGUGGCGAAGGCGGCCUACUGGACUGACACUGACGCUGAGGUGCGAAAGCGUGGGUAGCAAACAGGAUUAGAUACCCUAGUAGUC
rnacentral:rRNA from 1 species